GUUGAAAAAAACAUCUUUGCAUUGCAUUAUAAGACAGAAUAAAAUGCUACUUGCCCAGUUCUACUCGAUUUUUAGAAAAAAGAACUCACUGACAUCACGUUUGACAACGAAGCGGGCAGUCAAAAAGUUUCGUUUUCGCUCAAUUCUGUGCCACACGCGCUUUCACAUUUCAGUAGUUUCAUUAUCACGUAAUGCUGUGCUGGUAUCA
rnacentral:lncRNA from 1 species